GUCCCUGCCCUUUGUACACACCGC
rnacentral:ncRNA from 6 species